ACACGGACCAGACUCCUACGGGAGGCAGCAGUGAGGAAUAUUGGUCAAUGGGCGGAAGCCUGAACCAGCCAUCCCGCGUGAAGGAAGAAGGCCUUAUGGGUUGUAAACUUCUUUUCUGUUUGAAGAAUAAGCUUGUCGUGACAAGUGAUGCCGGUAGGACAGGAAUAAGCAUCGGCUAACUCCGUGCCAGCAGCCGCGGUAAUACGGAGGAUGCAAGCGUUAUCCGGAUUUAUUGGGUUUAAAGGGUGCGCAGGUGGUUUAAUAAGUCAGUGGUGAAAGUCUGCCGCUUAACGGUAGGAUUGCCAUUGAUACUGUUGGACUUGAAUAUGGAUGAGGUAGGCGGAAUGUGUAGUGUAGCGGUGAAAUGCUUAGAUAUUACACAGAACACCGAUUGCGAAGGCAGCUUACUAAUCCAUGAUUGACGCUGAGGCACGAAAGCGUGGGGAUCAAACAGGAUUAGAUACCCUGGUAGUCCACGCUGUAAACGAUGAUCACUCGCUGUUUGCGAUAUACAGUAAGCGGCUAAGCGAAAGCGUUAAGUGAUCCACCUGGGGAGUACGAUCGCAAGGUUGAAACUCAAAGGAAUUGACGGGGGCCCGCACAAGCGGAGGAACAUGUGGUUUAAUUCGAUGAUACGCGAGGAACCUUACCUGGGCUUAAAUGGGGAGUGACAGCUGCUGAAAGGUGGUUUUCUUCGGACACUCUUCAAGGUGCUGCAUGGUUGUCGUCAGCUCGUGCCGUGAGGUGUCGGGUUAAGUCCCAUAACGAGCGCAACCCUUACUGUUAGUUGCCAGCGGGUAAAGCCGGGGACUCUAGCGGGACUGCCACCGUAAGGUGAGAGGAAGGUGGGGAUGACGUCAAAUCAGCACGGCCCUUAUGUCCAGGGCUACACACGUGUUACAAUGGCCGGUACAAAGGGCAGCUACACUGCGAAGUGAUGCUAAUCUCGAAAGCCGGUCCCAGUUCGGAUCGAAGUCUGCAACCC
rnacentral:rRNA from 1 species